rnacentral:lncRNA from 10 species
GGGCUGCAGCUCCACUAGCGCCAAGUUGCAGUUCUGGGUGGUGCAGCAGGGGCCAUCGCCUUCCUCCCCAGGGGGGUCACCUUCAGAGCGCGGGCCUCUGGGUUCCGAGGGUGCUGGUGACCUGAGAAGAAGGGAGGGGACAGAGGAGGAGACACACCUGAUCAGCCCGGGAGACUUUGGAGGAGGCGGGCCGGCCGGGAGGAAGUGGCGGGGAGGAGGGACCGGAGCACCCCAGGAUCGAAGAGGGCGCACGGGCCCGGCCCUCCCACGCGCCCUCCAGGGACCCGGCAGCCAGACAGACGGACAGGCGGACCGCUAGGGAGCUCAAGUACCCGGACACACGCACGAGCGCAGAACAAAGGGCCGGACAUGCUCCAGCCCGCUCCGCCUGCGCCUCGGCCUUGCGCGCGGGGGCCCGGGUUACCUGCGCAGAGCCAGCUGUGAUGUAAAGAAGUUUGUGCUGCAUGAGAGAGAUAGCACCUGAAGAAAAUGAGGCCCUGGAGGAUGAGAGACUCUAAAGGAAAAGGGAAGGGCCUGCUGUCUUCCAGCCACGCCAGCCCCCAACUGAGAAGCUGGUGCCCUUGGUGUGGUGGAAGCAAGGUGCCAUGUGAUAAGUAAGCCUCCAGAGAGGCCUGCAUGGCAGGAUCCAAUGUCUUUAGCCAACAGCAUCUGGGAACCUGAGACCUGCCAACACCCUUGUGAGUGAGCCUGGAAGUGGACCUCCUGCUCUUGAACCUUGAGGUGACUAUAGUGCUGGCUGACACCUUGACUGCAGUCCCUGAGCUGGGGGGCCCAGCUGAUCUACUCCCAGAAUCCCCCCUACUAAAACAGUGAUAUAAUAAAUGCUUAUUGUUUCAAGCUGGUAACUUUUGGAAUGCAUUCACUGAAAAAAAUUAGAAUAUCAAACUAUAAACCGUUUACUUAGUCAACUUUUUGGGGAACUAAUAUGGCCAUAAAUAUCAAACCUCCUACAAUUUUGCACAUUCUUUGACUUUGUAGUUCUACAUCUAUAAACUUCUCUUAAGGGAAAUCAUGGAUGCCAACAAAGAAAUAGUUACAAAAAUGUUCAGCAGAGGAGCACUAUUUAUAAUGGCAAAUUGGUGGUGAUCCAUAUAUCCAAAGAUGGGAUUGAGUGACUAAAUCAUGGAAUCACCUCUAAUAGAACAGGAUGGGAUUCAUUAGUGAGUUUUAAAAACAGUAAAGGGAUUUGCCACUGGCAUUUGAAAAGACAAAAUAAAAUGAAAUAGAAUGAAAAAUAUCAGAGUAAGGACAAGUUUUGCUUCAUAAGAAAUUUAGCUUUGUAUAUGUACAUGUGUACAUUGUGAUAUUAAAUUCCUUACUCUGAGUCAUGGUCCAAAUUUUGAAUAACUGCAGUGUUAAUAAAAGAUGUAUAUAAAACUACUUAGGCCAGGCACAGUGACUCAUGCCUGUAAUCCCAGCACUUUGGGAGGCCAAGGCGGGCGGAUCACCUGAGGUCAGGAAUUCAAGACCAGCCUGGCCAACGUGGUGAAACCCUGUCUCUACAAAAAUACAAAAAUAGGCUGGGUGUGGUGGCUCAUGCCUGUAAUCCCAGCACUUUGGGAGGCCGAGGUGGGCAGAUCACCUGAGGUCAGGAGUUUGUAGACCAGCCUGGCCAACAUGGUGAAACCCCAUCUCUACUAAAAAUACAAAAAUUAGCUGGGCGUGGUGUCAGGCGCCUCUAAUCCCAGCUACUCGGGAGGCUGAGGCAGGAGAAUCGCUUGAACCCGGGAGGUGGAGGUUGCAGGGAGCCAAGAUCGCGCCAUUGCACUCCAGCCUGAGGGACAAGAGCGAGACUUUGUCUCAAAAAAAAAAAAAAAAAAAAAAUUAGCUGGGCAUGAUGGCAUGUGCCUGUAAUCGCAGCUAUCAGGAGGCAGGGGAAUCACUUGAAUCUGGGAGGCAGAGGUUGCAGUGAGCUGAGAUCACACCACUGCACUCCAGCCUGGGCAACAGAGUGAGACUGUCUCAAAAAAUAAAUAAAUACAACUACUUAAUGACAUAAAAUGUAACCAAAAUAUAUUAAGUUAUAAAAUGUAUUCAUAAUGUUACAAAAUGAUCGAAUUUUGUGAAAACCCAAACUAUGUGAAAAAAAUGGAAAGUAAAUACACC